rnacentral:misc_RNA from 1 species
GUUCCAUUUAAUAUUGCAUCAUAUGCUCUUCUGACUUGCAUGAUUGCUCAUGUUUGUGGUCUUGCUCGAGGUGACUUCAUUCACGUGAUUGGAGAUGCUCAUGUUUACCGUACUCAUGUGAGGCCAUUGCAGGAGCAGCUUCAGAAACUCCCCAAACCGUUCCCCAUUUUGAAGAUAAAUCCCGAGAAGAAGGAUAUCGAUUCUUUUGUGGCAGAUGAUUUU